rnacentral:rRNA from 1 species
AUAGCGAAAGCUAGUUGUAUUAACUAUUAGUUAAUGCAAGAUCGACUAUGUCGAAUAAAGUUCUAGGUAGAAUAAUGAUUAUGACAAUUUUCUACCUAUAUGUCUUGACCAAAUCUCGUGCCAGCAGUCGCGGUAAUACGUGGAAGACUAGUGUUAUUCAUCUUUAAUAGGUUUAAAGGGUACCUAGACGGUUUUUCUAGCCCAAAAUAGGGUACAGAUUUACUAGAGUUUUAUGUGAGGAGGGGAGUACUUAUGGAGUAAAAAAUAAAUUUCAUUUAUCCAAUAAGGAACCGGGGGGGGGCAAAACCACCCUUCAUGUAAUAACUGGACUUGAAGGAACAAAGGUUGGGGAACCAAAUAGAAUAAAAUCCCCAAUAAUCCCAAGGAAACAUUCUGGAUGGCCUUAAAUAAAAUUAUUUUGGGCCAAUAAUGGAAAGGGAAACCUUCCCCCCUCAAAAUUAUGUGGCCACCCCAGGACCGGAAUUCUUUAACCGGUUCCGGAACCCAGAAUGGAAGUUUGUUAUUUAUUUGAAUAAUCCACAAAAACCCUCCCCCCAAUUUAAAUAUUAUUAAAAUAUUACAAGCGUUGCAGGGCUGUCUUCAUUUAAUGUCGUGAAAAUUUUGGUUAUUUCCUUUAAUUAACCGUAAACCUUAAUUUAAUUUAUCUUUUUUUUAUAAAGUAGUCCGCCAUUAUAUUGAAUAUGAUAACAGGGAC